GAACAACUUGCUGCUUCAGGCAAACUACAACUCCUGAUGGGAACUUCUGGAAGAUAAGGGACUCAGUUCCAGUUCACUAUUUCACAAGGGCUUGAUGGUGCUCAUAAUCUGGUUCUGGGAGGUGGUCUGGAUCCAGUGAAAAGAUGAAAUAUGCUGGAAAAGAUGCAUUCUAAUUAAAAGACCCCUCAGGAUGGCGCAGGCUGGUUUGGAUCAUGGGACACAGCAUUGUGCAUUGGGAAGCUGGCUAUGCAAGAAGAUCAGGCUGGAGUUUGGACCUGGGGCUUGCAGACUUAAUAUCCAUCAAGGGGAUCAG